GUAGGGGGCAAGCGUUAUCCGGAAUUACUGGGUGUAAAGGGAGCGUAGACGGCAAUGCAAGUCCGGAGUGGAAUGCGGCAGCUCAACUGCCGAACUGCUCUGGAAACUGUAUGGCUUGAGUGCAGGAGGGGUAAGCGGAAUUCCUGGUGUAGCGGUGAAAAUGCGUAGAUAUCAGGAGGAACACCGGUGGCGAAGGCGGCUUACUGGACUGUAACUGACGUUGAGGCUCGAAAGCGUGGGGAGCAAA
rnacentral:rRNA from 1 species